rnacentral:lncRNA from 1 species
AUCUAAACCUGAGAACUCAUCAGUCUCCAUGGCAUGAAAGCUGCAUUUUGUUUUUCAGGCACACUGGAAGAGUGGUUGUGAAUCCUUGGGAGAGGAUCCUCGCCACAAACAACUCAGAGAAUGUUGUCCAGCAAAGUGAAGUGCUCACAGAAAUCUGGAAUUUCAUGCAAAGUUUCACUUGCAGAGUUUAUGAAAGAAACCAUGGGUAUGACAGACUGCUCUACUACAAUAACCAACACAGAGGUGUAAAGUUUGUGUGUGCAGACUGAGCAGUAGGUUAUGAACAAGACAAAACUUUUGUCUGUGGAAACUGAACCACACCUCUGUAACAGCAGCUAACUCUGGUGGCAGCAUCACUGUCCUGAGUCCUGCAUCUCCCUCCUGGCUCGUGUCAGCAGGACAGGGACCUCUCUACACACCUGCCACCGCCUGCAAGGACCUCUCAAUUCAGCCAGGGCAGCUGCUUCAGCCAUGUGGCACUGACACAACCAAACACCCUCAGCCCCUCGGUGCUGGUAUUUCAAUAUCAAUUCUGGAUGUGCCUUUUGCCAGUGCCCACAUGGUUUCCUCUAUCACCACAUCCUCUAAAUACUGAAAAACUCCAAAGAGGGCUCUGAUCAGCAGUGACACACAGCACAUUCCCAAACCUCAGCAGCAGCAGCUAAC